UACGGAGGGUGCGAGCGUUAAUCGGAAUUACUGGGCGUAAAGGGUGCGUAGGUGGUUGUAUAAGUUAUCUGUGAAAUCCCUGGGCUUAACCUGGGCAGGUCAGAUAAUACUGUAUGACUCGAGUAUGGGAGAGGGUAGUGGAAUUUCCGGUGUAGCGGUGAAAUGCGUAGAGAUCGGAAGGAACACCAGUGGCGAAGGCGGCUACCUGGCCUAAUACUGACACUGAGGCACGAAAGCGUGGGGAGCAAACAGG
rnacentral:rRNA from 1 species